rnacentral:rRNA from 1 species
GACGAACGCUGGCGGCGUGCUUAACACAUGCAAGUCGAACGCCGAAGCUCAGCUUUUGUUGGGUGGAUGAGUGGCGAACGGGUGAGUAACACGUGAGUAACCUGCCUCCUUCUUUGGGAUAACGCCCGGAAACGGGUGCUAAUACUGGAUAUUCACUGGUCUUCGCAUGGGGGUUGGUGGAAAGGGUUUUUCUGGUGGGGGAUGGGCUCGCGGCCUAUCAGCUUGUUGGUGGGGUGAUGGCCUACCAAGGCUUUGACGGGUAGCCGGCCUGAGCGGGUGAACGGGAACAUAGGGACGGAGAAACGGCCCAGGCGCUGACGGGAGGCAGAAGUGGGGAAAAUGGGACAAAGGGUGCAAGACUGAUGCAGCGUCGGCGCGGGAGGGAUGCGGGCCUUCGGGUUGUGAACCUCUUUCGGACAUGGUCAAGCCGCAACAAUGGUUGUGGUGAGGGUAGUGGGUAAAGAAGCGCCGGCUAACUACGUG